ACAAGUUUGCCAAGGCUGGGGGUGAUCAAUUUGCUUCCCCGGUGGUGGUACGCCACAAACCGAUACGCUAGGGAACAAGUUCGUCCGACUUAAAUGAAGGCCUUGCUCCCCAAACACGGAACGAGCAGUUUCCGGCCGUUGGGGCAGCCGUUGACAACAACAGUUAAUAACCGCAGCAACAUUAACGUCCUCAAUACGUAAUCGAUGGAAAUAGCAGUGAACGUAGCCAGGAAACAUGUCCAUCAUUAUCCUCAUCUGAACAACAGCCGUAGAGAAAUCACAUAAGGUCAUGAGCGAGAGUUGACCGAACCUGGACCUUGAAUUUCAAGACAUUAUAUAGUCAUACAUGUCGUUGUGCCAUGUGGCCGUCGGAAUUCCACCGGUCCGCAAGUUGAAUCAUCAGGCGCCGGGCCGGCGUGUACCUUGGCCUAGGUCAGAGUGCUCCAGCCUGCCAGGUGCCGGCUGGGGGCCAGUUGGUCUAAGGUGCGUCACCGUCGUGUACCAACGGAAGCAAACAAGCGUGAAAGGGCAAGAGUUGCGAUUCGCUGGGAACAAGCCGGCGCUGGCAGGGCACGGGUGAACCACUGCAGCGGAUCGAUGAAAAAAGGCGCCAUGCACGACCUGCCGCUGCAAGCUUGCGAUUCUCAUAGGUUGACGACGACCACGUACCCGGAUGACCAGAUGGCGCUAUGCUGUGUUGGGAGUAAAUAGCCUGAGGGCCAGAGACAAACUGGGAUCAGGCUGCAUUUUUUUCUGUCUUUACGUCUGGGGGCACUGGGCACUCCAAAUGGUGGGGGACUUGUACACAGUAGCCAGAUCGUAGGCUGGGGAUUGAACGCCCUGUUACCGCGGUACUGCAUUGGGAACAGACUUGACAGUUCGCCGGGGUGGGCGUAGGGUUGGUAGGCGUCAAGUUUGGAUGUACAGUCCAGCCCUAGGAGCGAGACGGCGGUAUGAAUUCCCGUCGGGUGCUUUUACCUUAUCCAGAAAGAGGCGUUUGCAAAAGACCCCAACCGGGAGAGCAUCUCGGCGAGGGUAUGGGUAUCACCCUUCAAGGGAUGUUCUAGUCCAUCCAGAUCUGGUGUGCGAGACUGCAGGAUCGGGUUUCUCCUCAGACAGCGGUACCGAACGGUAGUGCCGCGUUACCAGCACGGACGGGCAGGGUGCCGUGGUUGACACACCACACCGCGGGACGCUGGCACUGACAGUGACACUGACAUGUUGACACCAACGGGAUAAACGACACCGACACUCACUGCGCUGUGUAUGAGAACUGACAAGUCAUUUUCCUGGAUAGCGCCAAAAUUUCACCCUGAAACCGAAGGCUGAAGCGAUCCCUACGGUGGAUGCCCAACAAAUCUCCCCAAGCUGCUGGGCGC